AACGAACGCUGGCGGCAUGCCUAACACAUGCAAGUCGAACGAGACCUUCGGGCCUAGUGGCGCACGGGUGCGUAACGCGUGGGAACCUGCCCUUAGGUUCGGAAUAACUCCCCGAAAGGGGUGCUAAUACCGGAUAAUGUCUUCGGACCAAUGAUUUAUCGCCUUUGGAUGGGCCCGCGUUGGAUUAGCUUGUUGGUAGGGUAAAAGCCUACCAAGGCGACGAUCCAUAGCUGGUCUGAGAGGAUGAUCAGCCACACUGGGACUGAGACACGGCCCAGACUCCUACGGGAGGCAGCAGUGGGGAAUAUUGGACAAUGGGCGAAAGCCUGAUCCAGCAAUGCCGCGUGAGUGAUGAAGGCCUUAGGGUUGUAAAGCUCUUUUACCCGGGAUGAUAAUGACAGUACCGGGAGAAUAAGCACCGGCUAACUCCGUG
rnacentral:rRNA from 1 species